rnacentral:rRNA from 1 species
UGCGUAGGCGGAAGAUUAAGUCAGUGAUGAAAUCCUGCAGCUCAACUGUAGAACUGUCAUUGAUACUGAUUUUCUUGAAUUCAGUUGAGGUAGGCGGAAUGUGUAAUGUAGCGGUGAAAUGCUUAGAUAUUACACAGAACACCGAUUGCGAAGGCAGCUUACUAAGCUAUGAUUGACGCUGAGGUACGAAAGCGUGGGGAGCGAACAGGAUUAGAUACCCUGGUAGUCC